AACUCAUAACUGAACUACAGGUAAUCUACACACCCAAACAAGUGGAAUAUAUAAAUGGCCAGUGGAAAAUAAAUGAUCACGAGAUUUCGGUCAGUAGCAAUAACUCUACAAGCCAACGCAUAAUAUUAACAACGACAGCUUGAAGCCAGUAAAAUAGUUGUUCCUUGGGCCUUACUUAUAUAGUUAACUUACUUCACCUCUAUAAUGUUCUUUUGUCCUCACAUGAUAAGAGCAUGAUUAAUGGAGAGUUUUUACGGUGGAGAUUUUUAGCAGAAUAUAAUAAAUCGUUUCUUAAUUUUUAACUAAAAAAAGCUAAGAACCGGCUCUUAAAUAAGAGAUUUAAGACAAUGAUUAACCAGUCUCUUAAUUGGGGUUCUUAGCUUUUCUUAGAUUUUAAAAUCUAAGAAAAGCUAAGAACCGUCUCUUAAAUAAGAGAUAUAAGAACCGUCUCUUAACCAAAAAAUGUAAAAAAAAAUAAAAAUAAUAAUAAUAAUAUCAAAUCAUGAGUUAAGAACCCCGACUAAGAGACUGAGGUUAAUCAUAUUUUUUAGUUAAAAGUUAGGAAACCGAUUUUUAUAUUCCGCUAAGAAUCUCGUUCUACUAACCCCUAGUAAUCAUGUUCUAAGAGUUUCAUAUACAAUAGUUGCUUUCUUCUCUUGGGAUUAUAUAUCUUAUAUAUAUAAAGUAGACUUGUGCUCUACCCACAGCCUUCUACGUCACCAAAGACCAUAGGGCAAAAACCGCCACAUGGCAUAUAUAGUUAAACGCUAAUUUCACUUGCGUUGUUUUAUUUGAGCUGUACCGUGUUUUCCAACUGAAUAAAACGAUGAGCUUUGUUUUGGUCUUUCUUAGGAAGCCCAUAUAUUCUAGGGUUAGAUGUAUUAUCACUACGUAAGCUAGAGAAUAAGUCGCGUAGCUCUUCAAUUCUCACGAGUCACGACCUCCGCCAUUCAUCUAUGUAACAGCUACCAUUAACGUAAUUCUGAUACUUUAAGCCAUGCAUUAAUGUCUCUUGCACCACUUCUCCCACUCUCUCUCGAAUUAAAUCAGCCAUGGCAUCCUCCAAGUAACCAACUGAAGCUUCACCUAUAAAUGUCUUUGUUGCUUAAGAUGAACAGACACACCUAAACGAAAUCCCGAAGGUCUCUCUCUAUUAAAUGCCUUCUUUCUAACUCACGAUUUCAAACCCAUGAAACAACACUGGAACCAUCGCCGCUCCAGCUUCGUGAUUUGAUGACUGGCCACUGUAGACAUAUUGUUGUUACGCGUGGAGAGAUCUAAAACUUCCAAGUAACUAAGCUUCAGCCCACCUAAAACUUUCCCAGGAAAAUAUAGGGUCUUGGAAGAGAAGUGAAGAAAUUUCAGGCCGAUGCAAGAACCAAGUCUUGAGAAAGUAGAUAUAUGACAUGAAUAGGGUUCUUCGAUAGAUCCAAGCUGGUGAAUAGAAAAAAAAAGUAAUUGAAACCAGAAACGGUGAGGAACAAGAGAGACAAUGUCAUACCAUUAAAUCAGGUACACAUGUUUUUUGUUGGAGACCGAUCUGGUGAGAGAUUCUUGUCAGGAAGAAUUUUUGGAUCUUAUAACUAAUGAAUUUCUCUGUACAAAUACUGAUAUGGUGAUGUGUUUAUUAUGUGUUGCUGAUGUACUUUCUACUGAACCCAUCGCAAUGACAGUAUCGGAUAAGUGUUUUAAUGGGAAGACUGUUUAGGUUAAUACUCGUGUCAAGUAGACAAAGCCUAAACUCACCUAUACAAAGCCUUUCCGACUAUGACCGAUGAAAAAAAACCUCAAAAAGACGCAAACGUGGAGAAGAAACCACAACUUUCUCUUGUCAAAGAAGAAGAAUAUGAAAACAUCAUUGGCUUCCAUGGUGAAAACUUGGGUCCUAAACAUCAGUAAGCUCGACUGGAGAAGAACACAACUUCCAGGUCAAAAGAUUUUAGAGGAACAUCCACAACACUUUGAUAGACAGGAUGCAUAUGAAUAUAUGGUGAAUUGCAAGAGGUUGCAUCAGGUACAAAGAAGCAAGUGGCAAGCAAAAAAGUUAUAACAAUGGAGGACACCUCAAAGAUGAAUGGUGAAUCUCAGGAAGCUACACAGCCUACACUAAUCAACAAACCUUUAGUUUGUGUUGUUUCUUCAGGGGAGAAAAGACCUUUAACUGUCCCAAAGGGACCAAACUUCAUGUACCUAAGAGCUGUUGUACAAAUAGAGUGGCAUUACUUGUCUAAAAUCUCUGGUUUACUCCACACGGGAGUUUUGUAAUUUGGUUUGAUCUUUGAGAAGUAACAGAAGUGAGUUUUUUUUAGUGUGUAUAAAAAACACAUGCUCAUCGUUAGUAUUAGUGAGCUCAGAGGAGAACUUGUAGUGUUGAAAGCUAAGGAAAACUUGAGAGAUUCUAAGUCUGACACUACAAGAAAACAUAAGCUUAACGAGGGUGGUUUUCGUCGUGAGUUUGUCGUAAAAUAGGCUUUACGAGGAAUUAGCGAGGAAACACGUUUUCUCGUUACUCAUCCGUCGUAACACAUAUUUCCUCGCCAAUUCAUCGUAACUUAGCGAGGAAAAUAUUUCGUCGUAAAGACGAAUUACAUCAUUUCGUCGUAAAGACCACGUAAAUAUUCCACGUAAGGAGGUCGCUAUAUUUCCUCGUAAAUCCCUCGAAACGUGUUCCUCGUAAAC